rnacentral:rRNA from 1 species
CCUACGGGUGGCCGCAGUGAGGAAUAUUGGUCAAUGGGCGUAAGCCUGAACCAGCCAAGUCGCGUGAGGGAUGAAGGUUCUAUGGAUCGUAAACCUCUUUUAUCAGGGAAUAAAGUGCGGGGCGUGUCCCUUUUUGUAUGUACCUUAUGAAUAAGGAUCGGCUAACUCCGUGCCAGCAGCCGCGGUAUUACGGAGGAUCCGAGCGUUACCCGGAGUUAUUGUGUUUAAAGGGUGCGUAGGGGGCUUUUUAAGUCAGCGGUGAAAGGCUGUGGCUCAACCAUAGAAGUGCCGGUGAAAUUGGGGGGCUUGAGUGUGUUAGAGGCAGGCGGAAUGCGUGGUGUAGCGGUGAAAUGCUUAGAUAUCACGCAGAACCCCGAUUGCGAAGGCAGCCUGCCAAGCCAUGACUGACGCUGAGGCACGAAAGCGUGGGGAUCAAACAGGAUUAGAUACCCUGGUAGUC